AAUAAGCAUCAAGAAGUGUCACCCAGGCAGGCACUGCUAAGGCUCACUGACGACCCAGAGAGACUUCCUGAGACCGCAUUGCUGGAUCCAAAGCACAGGUCAAGAGACUCAGAAAUGAAUUUUCAGGACCCAAGAAGCCAAGUACCAAGUGUAGGAAAGGAAAAGCAAUAUUUUCCUAACCAAUCUUAAGCCUGAAGGGAAUUUCACAUGCCAUGAUGUGCUUGUGGAGGUCAAAGAUCAAUUUGAGAAGGUAAGU